CUACAGUCAACUACUGUCAUCUACAGUUAUCUACAGUCUACAGUCAUGUACAGUCAUCUACAUUCAUCUACAGUCAUCUACAGUCAUCUACUAGUCAUCUACUGUCAUCUACAGUUAUCUACAGUCAUCUACAGUCAUGUACAGUCAUCUACAUUCAUCUACUGUCAUCUACUGUCAUCUACUAGUGUCAUCUACUAGUGUCAUCUACUGUCAUCUACAGUCAUCUACAGUCAUCUACAGUCAUCUACAUUCAUCUACUGUCAUCUACAGUCAUCUACUGUCAUCUACAGUAUCUACAGUCAUCUACAGUCAUCUGUAGUCAUCUACAGUCAUGGGCUCGAGCCACGUUCGCCCAGUGAACCCAAAAUUUAAAUAACUGUAAUGAUGACCGAAGCCAAAAAUUGAAGCCAAAAAAUAUAUUUGUCGUCAUCAUUCUUCAUCACUCGUGUUUCUCGAGUGUUUAUAAACAAUUUGCAUUUUUUCGAAUCCUAGAUCUUUAGUUUGACCUCAGUUGAUUUCAUUUUACUAGUCAGUUUUAUCUUCACAAAGAAAGUCUUUUGAAUUAUACUUAUUUCAAUUCUACAUCAUCCUCAGUGCAAAAGUAUUAUUACGUUUUUCAAAUAAACUAAAAGGAUUUGUUGGUAUGAA